rnacentral:rRNA from 1 species
UACGUAGGGCGCAAGCGUUGUCCGGAAUUAUUGGGCGUAAAGAGCUCGUAGGCGGCCUGUCGCGUCUGCUGUGGAAUCCCGGGGCUUAACCCCGGGCGUGCAGUGGAUACGGGCUGGCUGGAGGCAGGCAGGGGAGAAUGGAAUCCCCGGUGUAGCGGUGAAAUGCGCAGAUAUCGGGAGGAACACCGGUGGCGAAGGCGGUUCUCUGGGCCUGUUCUGACGCUGAGGAGCGAAAGCGUGGGGAGCGAACGGG